CCUACGGGAGGCAGCAGUGGGGAAUAUUGGACAAUGGGCGAAAGCCUGAUCCAGCAAUGCCGCGUGAGUGAUGAAGGCCUUAGGGUUGUAAAGCUCUUUUACCAGGGAUGAUAAUGACAGUACCUGGAGAAUAAGCUCCGGCUAACUCCGUGCCAGCAGCCGCGGUAAUACGGAGGGAGCUAGCGUUGUUCGGAAUUACUGGGCGUAAAGCGUACGUAGGCGGUUAUUCAAGUCAGAGGUGAAAGCCUGGAGCUCAACUCCAGAACUGCCUUUGAAACUAGAUAGCUAGAAUCUUGGAGAGGUGAGUGGAAUUCCGAGUGUAGAGGUGAAAUUCGUAGAUAUUCGGAAGAACACCAGUGGCGAAGGCGACUCACUGGACAAGUAUUGACGCUGAGGUACGAAAGCGUGGGGAGCAAACAGGAUUAGAUACCCUGGUAGUCCACGCCGUAAACGAUGAUAACUAGCUGUUCGGGCUCUACGAGCUUGAGUGGCGCNGACUACGACAUAAGUUAGUCCGUCCGUCGGGAGGUACGGUCGGCGAAGAAGUUAAAACUUAACGUAAAGUUAAAGUUAGUACGGCGUUGAGACGUUGCCGAACGGACGACGACGAGGGGAGGUUAGGAG
rnacentral:rRNA from 1 species